CUGGUGUCCUUUAUGCUCGGAAUUAUCCCAGUUUUCAUUGCAUGGAUAUAUUCAGAGUUCUUAGACUAUAAGAAAUCUUCAUCUUUUUCUAAAGUGCAUUCAGACAAUAAUCUGACUGAGUUGGAAAAGGAGACAAUCAAGGAAGAUGAUCGAGCUGUUUUGCUUGAAGGAGGUCUUACAAGAACAGCAUCCGCCAAAUUUUAUAGCUCAUCUAUCAAAUUGAACUUAAUCAGGUUUAUGACUAUGGAUGACUCCUUCUUGCUAGAAAAUCGAGCUACUUUGAGAGCAAUGUCUGAGUUUGGGAUGAUUAUGAUUUAUUUCUAUAUAUGUGACCGCACAAACUUGUUGGGAGACUCCACCAAGAAAUACGAUCGCGACCUUUUCCUCUUCCUCUACUCUCUCCUCAUUAUAGUAUCAGGAAUGACUUCAUUGAAGAGACACAAUGACAAAUCAGCAUUCUCUGGGAAAUCCAUACUUUACCUUAACCGGCAUCAAACUGAAGAGUGGAAAGGAUGGAUGCAGGUCCUAUUCUUAAUGUACCAUUACUUUGCUGCAACAGAAAUUUACAAUGCAAUACGUGUCUUUAUUGCUGCAUAUGUUUGGAUGACUGGAUUUGGCAAUUUCUCAUAUUAUUACAUUAAAAAGGAUUUUAGCCUUGCACGCUUUGCUCAGAUGAUGUGGCGGCUCAAUUUCUUUGUGGCAUUUUGCUGUAUCGUUCUUAACAAUGAUUAUAUGCUGUAUUACAUCUGCC
rnacentral:misc_RNA from 1 species